AUCCUGAAGUGGGAGACGGAGAGGCUUGUCUGAGGGCCUCUUGGGCUCCUGGAUCUGGUCCAGAGCUUCAAGAAGAGUUGGGCCCUUGUACCAGUCAAGGUUGGUUGAUCUCUCAAUCAUAUUGUCACCUUCAAACCCAGAGAUGGGAACAAAAGGAAUCUUAUCAGGGUUGUAUCCAACCUUCUUGAGGUAGGAGGAGACUUCCUUGACAAUUUCAUCGUACCUAGCCUUGGAGUACUUGGGGGUGGUGGCAUCCAUCUAAAUAAAUGAUGGAACAAAGGCUUAAAUGUUAGAAAAAACGAUAGUAAGAUUGUCAAAUGUAUGGCAAAUACAGCAACUAUUAAACAACAAAGCCAUAUUCAGUUCCCCUAAGCAAGAAGGCAAACUGUAAGCCAGAGAGGUUAGGGCAGGGUCAUUUAACACAAUAAACACUAACAGCAGACAGACCACUUGCUAUCAAUUUAAAGCAGCCGUGGUAAACUGUUUAUCUCUGAAACUUGAUUCAUUAACCCAAAAGAAAAAGCAAACAAAGAAACAAACAUAAAAUAUACAGGCAAGGAGCAUGUGCUCAUAUACACAUAUAAGGCACAAAGGAAGCAUAUAAAACAUUUGUAGAAAGAUAACAAUGUGAGAGGAAGUGACAUUUCUAGAAAGAUCCAAUGUGAAGUAAGUGAAAGUGCAAACUAAUAUUUUUGCACCCCGUCCACUAUGAAACAAGCAUCUAACAGGAAAACAUAAAAUAACAGUGUUUGAUAAAAAAAAGAUUAUCAAACCUACUAUAUUGACAAGUGGGGAGAGAGGGAAUCGAACCCUCAACAGUUCAAUGUGCAUAACCACCGGUUUAACAUCCGGAGCCAUCCACCAUUAGGCCAUCUUCUCCCCCAAAUAGACAACAUCACAUGUCUUCUAAUAAAGUAAACACCCAUCAUAGCUCUGGACAUUAUCCAUAUAUGCGUCAAAUAGUACGAACAUUUCAACAUUGCAUUUGAGCUAGAUGGGUGCUCUUUAUCAGAAGAGGGGCCAUAACAAACAGGAUAAUAAACAAGAGCAGAAAGUGUCACAACGUGGAAUAUUACCUUGUUGCAGCAGCAAAUCAUUUGCUUUACACCAAGGGUGAAAGCAAGUAGAGCAUGCUCACGGGUCUGUCCAUCCUUGGAAAUACCAGCUUCAAAACCACCAGUGGUGGAAUCGAUGAUAAGGACAGCACAGUCGGCCUGUGAAGUACCAGUAAUCAUGUUCUUAAUGAAAUCACGAUGCCCGGGAGCAUCAAUGACAGUGCAGUAGUAUUUGGUGGUUUCGAACUUCCACAAGGCAAUAUCGAUGGUGAUACCACGCUCACGCUCGGCCUUGAGCUUGUCAAGCACCCAGGCAUACUUGAAUGACCUCUUGUUCAUCUCAGCAGCUUCCUUCUCAAACCUCUCAAUCACACGCUUGUCAAUACCUCCAAGCUUGUAGAUAAGAUGACCAGUGGUGGUCGACUUACCAGAGUCGACGUGGCCAAUGACCACAAUGUUGAUAUGAACCUUCUCCUUACCCAUUAUAGAUGUUUAAACACUUAACUGGAAAACGGAAAGGAAUAAAAACGAAUAAGAAGUUGUUUUAGCUAUAAGCAGCCAGUAAGAGUCGAAUUACAGAGACAAAUCAGCAUCGUUUCUCCUCAUAAAUCCAAUAGAAAACAGACAUAGCAUUCACACUUCUUAGAUUCACAACAAAAAGAGCACGAAACGAAGAGCUUAAUCUCAAAAUCAACUAAACGAAACAAACAAAAUAAAUCAGAUCUACUGAAAGAGCAAAUAGAUCUGGAUAUUAAACAAAAGAAAACAGGUAAUUAGAACAAAAGCAUGACGAGCUAAAUCACAAAAUUCUUUGAAAUCUAACAAAUCUGUCUCUCUACAUCAGAAAAGCUAAAAGCUAAAAACUAAAAAAAAAUCGGAUGCAUCUAUAAAUCCUAGUUUUAAAAAAUUGGUAAAAUCAUCAAAGAUUAUCGAGAACACCAAAAUCUGGACCUUAAGAUUAAUGCAAAGCUUGAUACAAGGAUGAAUCUACAUCCAUCCAUAGAAUAUAAUAACCUGAGUGAAGAGAAUAAGGUUCAGAUCCGAUUACCUGAACGCAGCCAAGAGAAAUCUACGAGAACCUCGCGUAUACUGUAACGAAGACGCGAAGGCAGAGAGUGUAGUGCGGUGUGAGGCUAGCUCUCGUUAUAUAUAGCAAUAAGAUUAGGGUUGCUGCUUCCUAGUGGACGGAGCAAGACCUCAUUCAGUUUAUUUACUUUUUUGCCCCUAAUGAGCAAGCCAAAUAUUUGAAAUAAAAUUACUACUUGAUCUAUAUCUAUAUGGUAACUAGUUUCUUACUUUUAAAAAAUUUAUAAAAAUAUUUAAUAUUUUUAAAAAUUUAUUAAUUAAUUUUAAUAUGAAAGAAUUAAUUAAUAAAUUUUUUAAAAUUAUAAAUAAUAAAAUAUUUAAAAUUAAAAUAACAGAUGAAUUGAUAUGUAAAAUUUUUAAAAUGUAAAAAAUAUUUUAAUAUAUUUUUAAAAAAAUAAACGAUUAAUUAAUAAUUUUUUAUAUUAUAAAAAUUAAAUAAUAACUUUUUUAUAUUUUAUUUUUAUUUAUAUAUUAUUAACAAGUAGUGAUUAAUUAUUAUACAACAUAUUUAUAUAUUUAUUGCAUAAAUAGUAAUUAAUUUUACAUAAUUAAAUUUAAUAUAUAUAUUUAUUAUAGUUAUUAAACUAGCUUUAAUAAUUUCAGUAGCCUAUCAAAUUUAAUAUAUAACAAUAUUUAAAGAUCGUUUUAAUUUUAAUUAAAUUGCAUUUGAGUGAUUCAAUAUAUGGACAAUUGAAUUCAAAUAUUAUAUAUUUAAUUAGAAUUAUGUUUUCAAUCAUUAAGAUUAAUUUUCUUUUUAAAUAAUGCACAUCCCUUUGUGUAGUGUUUGUCUUGUUAAAAAAUCGAGUUUUGCUAGCAUUGAAUGGGCUAUUGCUAUGAAAUGACCAGCUGCUGUGGCCUUUGGCUUUGGGUUGUGGGUUUGUGGCUUGGCUUCGGCUUGUUUUUUCUCUAUUAUUUAGCCCGCUGAUCUUUUAGAAUGGCACUGUAAAUAAAUAAAACGCAAUAUAGGCUGAUAAAUCUAAAAACUAGGCAAAUUAAUAAAAAAAUAAUGAUAGAGGAAAAAACCUAAGUUAAAGAUGGUAAUAAUAAAAUAUCCACAAAAAUCACGAACGAAUUAUUAUCUUUAGUAUUUGCAAUCCGUUCUACCCCAUCUAAUUAUAUAUAUUUUAAUAAAGUUUAUAUAAAAUCUAUAUCUCGAUAAUAUUUUUUAUUUUAGACAUUCAUUUCUAUUAUUUUAUUUUUAAUUAAUAUAUAUAAAAUAAAUUUCAAACAUCAUGGCACUGUUUUAUAUUUAAAUACUUAUUUAAAAAAGAUAAAUAAUACGCCUCAUACCAAAAAUAACUCGUAAAUUAAUCAAAAUCUUCAAAAUAAAUAAUAAAUAUCAUGUAUUUAUUCAUCUAUUAAAAAAUUUGACACAACCAAUUUUGAUUUUAGUCCAGUAAAGACUAACAUAAUACUCACAUAAAAAAUUCAGGUUCAAGUCUUCUUAUUUUUAAUUCCCUACUAAAAAAAUGACACAAAUAUUUAUUGAGACUAUACAAAAUAUAAAUAGUUAUGACUUGAUCUCUCAUAUUCAAUCAAGAAAUUCUCACCAAUAUAAAAUUAUAUAUUUAUAUAAUAUAAUAAAUUAUUAUAAUCUUUAUCAUAAAGCGAUUCCAUUGAAUUAAAAUUAAAAUUAUCUUAUAUUAUUAUAUAUAGAUCAAUAAAUUAAUAUUAGUUCGUAUUAUUUUUCAUUGCAUAUGAAUCAAUUUAAAAUAAAUUUAAUUUAUAUUAUAUCAACAAUAAAAUGAGUUAAUUGAAUUAAAAUAAAAUUACUUUAUCACAACUUUAAUUUGAUCUAAUUGAAUUAAAAUCAAAAUCAUUUAAGAUUCAUUACUAAUUAAAUUUAAUUAAAAUUAAAUGAUCCUGUAUAUGAAUAAUAUGAAUCAAAAUCUAUUCAUACUAUACAAAUCAUAAAAUGAGUUCAUUGAUAAGAUCGGUUCACUUUAUGUCAAUUUAAAUUAGGCAAAUCAAAUUAAAACUAAUCUAUCUUAUAUAUAUCAAAUAUUAUUAAAAUUAAAUUAAAAUAAAUUUUUUUAAAGAAAAAAUAAAAAAUUUUAUAUUUAUAGUGUACAAUUGUUCCAGAUGUGAGAGAAAUAUUUUCGGGAGUUUUAUUUCAAAAGGAGAAAAAUGACGUUACAUUUUGUUUGGAAGCUUCAUUGCUUCCUUAUGUACCCAGUCAAGUCCACGUGAACAUCACGUAUAACUUUACAGAUUAGAAAUAAACGAAUUAAAAGAAAUCAUGUUACAUUAGCUCUAAUAUAACAAAAAGGAGAAUAUUACAAUGCGACAUAUCUUUGUUAUUUACAAUUACACACUUCAACACUCCCUCCCCAAAUUGAAACUGGUAAAGUAAAAAAAUUCAACUUGCAGACCAAACUGGUAUGGCGACAUAUUGGCAAUGCCUUCGUGAAGAGGUCUGCCAAUUGGUCUUGAGUAGGAAGGUGAUUAGGCAAGAUAAAUCCCUGUUGUAGUUGAUCUCGGACGAGGUGGCGAUCUAUCUCGAUAUAUUUUGUGCGCUCAUAGAAUACUAGGUUAAUAGUAUUGUGCAUGGCUGCUUUACUAUCACAGUAUAGUGAUAUAGGCAGUUGAGUUGGAACCUGCAAGUCUUAGAAAAUAUAACUAAUCCAGAGAAGCUUACCCACAGUGUUGGCCAUUGCACGAUACUCAGCCUCAGUUGAGAACUUAGAAACAGUGGUUUAUUUUUUUCAUUUUUCAAGAUAUGAGGCAAGGGUCCAAGUAAAUGCAAUACCCAAAGAGAUUUUCUAGAGUAUGUGCAAGCAACCCAAUCAGAAUCACAAUAUGUAUGGAGAGAUAAAUCAGUACUCACAAGAGAGUAAAGGCCUUUGUGUAAGGACCCCUUAAGAUAACGAAGCAAACGUAAAACAGUCUCCCAACGAGGCCUUCGAGGCAUGCUCAUAAAUUGACUUAAAUGUUAAACAACAUAACAUAUAUCAAGUCUUGUUAGAUUGAUGUAAAGAAGUUUGCCAAGUAGCCUUCUUUACAUAUUAGGCCCAGGAAGAGCCUCUCCUGAAUCAGGAGUCAAGUGCAAUCCUUGUGGCAAAGAGGAAGAUGCAGGUUUAUAAUAAAAUAUGCCUACAUCUUUAUGCACAUCCAAAAUAAACUUUAUUUGGCUAAGAAUAGUUGGAUAAGAAGAUCUAGCAACUUCUAGACUCAAGAAAUAUUUCAUAAGUCUCAAAUCUUAAAUAGUAAAUUUUGAAUGCAAGGCAAGUUUGCACUUAUUAAUAGUGUCGAUAAAAUUUUUUAUCAAGAUAACAUCAUCAACAUACACCAACGGGAUCAAAACCAAAGUGUUAGUAUGUUGUGUAAAGAGUCAAUGCUCAUGAGAUGACUGCACAAAUCCUAAAGUCUUAAGGAAAGCAAUAAACUCAAUAUUCCAUUGUCUAGAGCUUUGUUUAAACCCAUAUAAGAACCUCUUAAGCAAACAUACUUGCUUAAAUUGGGCUUUGUGAUAGCCCUAGGGAGGUGUCAUGUAUACCUCUUCAUUCAAAUGUCCGUGCAAGAAGGUAUUAUUGAUUUCCAACCGAAAAAUUGGCGAAUGUUUAGAGGUGGCCAAGGCAACGAGAAUCAUCGUUGUGAUAAGUUCAGGCACAUGUGAGAAUUUGUCCUUGUAAUCCAAGCCCUCUAUUUUGUUGUAGCCUUUGACAACCAAACGAGUUUUAUACCUAUCUACAUCCCCAUUACAAUCUAUAACUCUCUUAUUCUCAGACAAAGUAAUAAGAAUCCGAGUAUUAUACAACCAAACGAGUUUUAUACCUAUCUAUAUUUUCUUUACAGUCUAUAGCUCUCUUUAUCCCUAGGCAAAGUGGUCAGAAUUCAAAUAUUAUUUUUUUCCAAGGCAUGAAGUUUUUGUCCCAUGGCCUCAAUCCAGUGAACAAGACAUAAUAAGUGCAACUUUAUUAUUGACAUUGCAAAUAUAUGAACUAUGAGAUGAACAAAAGAAUAAGGUGGUUGUUUACAAAGGAUUCACAUAAUCCUACAACUAAAUAGGUGGUUAUCUAUGCCCGAGUCCUAGGUAAAGGACAUUUCUAAGGCCAUUAUUUCUAGGACUGCAUUGGCAAGGUUGCGAGUCAAGACGGUCUCAACCACAGGCAUAAGGACCACAUAACAUUCAAUGUCAUUAUUCUUUUGAGCCACAAGCUUUCCCUAAAUAAUAAAGUAGUUGUCUAUACAAAGUGUAUAGAUAUUAGUCCAAUAAGUGAUUCAGUCCUACAGCUCAAUGUACAAAGAGACUCGAUGAAUACUGGCACUAAACGCUAAGGACCAUGCACACAUUUAUAGAAGGCGUACCAGGAAGAAAAUAUGUCACCGAACAAAGUAGGAAGAUAAAAACAAUAAACCAAAAACCAUAAGUAGAAAAAUGAGGAAACGAUACGUGGGCCUUUUCUAAUUCAACUGAACCAAAUAAAGAUAACCACAUGAUACUACUCGUAUUCAGUACUACGAACCAUUUCGUUCUGACCUAGAAAAUCCAUUCUGAAGUUAAUGUUCUGGCAACGGGACAAGCUUCCAUAACCCUCCCACCACUCCAGAAACCAGAACACAAUCCAUCAAACCACCAAAAAAACAAAACCAUUAAACAUAUCAACAAAACGGGGCAACAUAGACAAAACUCUGCAACUUGAUAGAAAUUAUCUCAAACAUCCACAGCAAACGUAAUAAUAUCGCCACCGCCUAUCUAGCACCCAAUUCUGGGUGCUGUACGUAGACGUCGGGCAAAAAAAGUACAAAAUAGAAACACUACCAAAACAACUUGAAAAACUAAGAUAAAUAUAAGAUGUCCUCAACAGUAAUAUUAAAUGCUCCGCGCUCCCACGCACAAAUCAUUUCCCUCCCUUCUUGGCAGCAGACUUGGUGACUUUAGCUCCACUUGGGUCCUUCUUCUCAACACUCUUGAUCACACCAACAGCAACUGUCUGGCGCAUGUCCCUAACAGCGAAUCUACCCAGUGGAGGGUACCCAGAGAAAGUCUCCACAACCAUGGGCUUGGUCGGAAUCAUCUUCACGAACCCAGCAUCACCAUUUUUCAAAAACUUGGGCUCCUUCUCAAGCUCUUUGCCAGACCUACGAUCAAUCUUGGUUAAGAUUUCAGCAAACUUCACAGCAAUGUGGGAGGUGUGGCAAUCCAGCACUGGGGCAUAACCAUUUCCAAUCUGACCAGGGUGGUUCAUGAUGAUGACCUGCGAUGUAAAGUUGGCAGCCUCCUUGGCAGGAUCAUCCUUAGAGUUUGAUGCAACAAAUCCUCUCUUCAGAUCUUUCACUGCAACGUUCUUCACGUUGAACCCAACAUUGUCACCAGGGAGGGCCUCCUGGAGAGCCUCAUGAUGCAUCUCAACAGACUUAACUUCAGUUGUCAGACCAGUAGGUCCGAAGGUCACAACCAUUCCAGGCUUCAGGACACCAGUUUCCACACGACCCACUGGGACAGUUCCAAUACCACCAAUCUUGUAAACAUCCUGAAGUGGGAGACGGAGAGGCUUGUCUGAGGGCCUCUUGGGCUCCUGGAUCUGGUCCAGAGCUUCAAGAAGAGUUGGGCCCUUGUACCAGUCAAGGUUGGUUGAUCUCUCAAUCAUAUUGUCACCUUCAAACCCAGAGAUGGGAACAAAAGGAAUCUUAUCAGGGUUGUAUCCAACCUUCUUGAGGUAGGAGGAGACUUCCUUGACAAUUUCAUCGUACCUAGCCUUGGAGUACUUGGGGGUGGUGGCAUCCAUCUACAGAGACAUUAAAAAACAAUAAGUGCGACAAAAAAUUGAUCUCAAAGCACAUAUACAUAUAGAACUUAACAAUACUAAUACUUAUAUUUCCCAAAUAACAGCAACCUCAUAUCAAUAUAACCUCUCUCCUGGACAGAUAAGAUCCAAGCAUAUCAUUUACAAUCAGCCAUCGUGAUCCUAAACAACUAGAAUUUUACAGCCAACAAUCACUCAACCUCUCAGCAUUGCAUUCUUAACACAUUGCUCCUAUCUUUUCAUUUUUCAACAAAAUUAUGAAUAGGAGGAUAACAUUCAGCACCAACACGAAUGCACAGCCAAAGCCAGCAAGUAAUUAGGUUGUUACCUUGUUGCAGCAGCAAAUCAUUUGUUUGACACCAAGGGUAAAAGCAAGAAGGGCGUGCUCACGGGUUUGACCAUCCUUGGAAAUACCAGCUUCAAAACCACCAGUGGUGGAAUCAAUAAUAAGGACAGCACAGUCAGCCUGUGAGGUACCAGUAAUCAUGUUCUUAAUAAAGUCACGAUGACCAGGAGCAUCAAUGACAGUGCAGUAGUACUUGGUGGUCUCAAACUUCCACAAGGCAAUAUCAAUGGUGAUACCACGUUCACGCUCGGCCUUGAGCUUGUCAAGCACCCAGGCAUACUUGAAUGACCUCUUGUUCAUCUCAGCAGCUUCCUUCUCAAACCUCUCAAUCACACGCUUGUCAAUACCUCCAAGCUUGUAGAUAAGAUGACCAGUGGUGGUCGACUUACCAGAGUCGACAUGGCCAAUGACCACAAUGUUGAUGUGAACCUUCUCCUUACCCAUUGUUUAAUCUGAAAAGCAAGCAUAAAAGAAAUUCAGUAAUAAACAAAAAAAAAUUAAGUUAAAAUAAAGAAUAGUGACAUACUAAACAGUAAAAAACCCAUUGAUGGUAGGCAAUAAACAUACCAUACAGAAACGAGAACAAGACAAGAUACUUGAACUAUAGAUCCAAGAACAAAAGACUGAUUAAAAAACUCAUAUGAAAACAUUUUACAAGGUCUAUCAGAAAAAUAUCCAAACGGAACCACAACCCAAGUACAGAAAACUGAUUGCAAAGCACAGACCAACUUUACGACGAUUUAAAGCAUAAAACGGGGAAAAAAUCGAUAUGAAGACUAUGAAAUCGCAAAAUCAACUAAACAGUCCAAACAAAAUAUAUUAAACUUAUAGUUAUUGAAAGAGCAAAUAGAUCUGAUGUUAAUCAAAGAAAAUAAAAGGUAAUUAAACUAUAUCGAGCAGGAGAGCUAAAUCACGACACGAUUUGGAAUCUAAGAAAUCAGUGACUGACCUGGAGAGACUGAGGAGAAGGAGGAGGCAGCAACGGCGGCGGAGAUUAAGAAAGGCUUAGGAAAUGAGCACGCACUAUGGCAGCGAAGAAAAGGGGAUGCGAACUGAGAGAAGCAGAGGCAAUAUGCCAUUAUUUAUAGCGCUAAAAGGGCUAGGGUUACUCGUUACUCGAAGGCGGCGAAUAUUUUAUCUUACGGUUUUGCCCUUGCCCUAACCUUCAUGCGCAUGACAAAGUGUGACGAGUUUGUCCCAAUUGCUUGCAUACUAAGUGUCUAUGCCGUUGCUAUUAAAACUGCAAAUUUAAAACAUAAAAAUAAAAAUAAAUUAUAAAAAAAGAAAAACAAUUAGCUGUAAUUUUUUCCAUUUUUUUCUUGUUCAGCAAAAGGAUAAGGACAGAGAGGUAACGAGUUUAAACAACGCCGAAUUAAAUUAAUUAUUACAAAUAAAUUUACUUAAAUUUAAUAAUUUAAAUUUUUUAUAAUCACAGACUUAACCUGAUGAUAAGUGCAUCCGAGUAAACCUGAUAGAUCUCAGGAUCGAAUCCCCCAAUCCCUAAUUCAAAAAAAAUAAUAAUUUAAAUUUUUUAAAUUUAAUAAUUUUAAUUUUUAAAUGAUAAUAUAAUUACAUCUCGAAGAGAACAUUUUAAAAUCAAAUUUUUGUAAUAAUAAAUGAAAAAUAAAUAUAUGAAAUAUUAAAUAUAAAACUUUAUGUAUUUUUUACUCUAAGUGAUAAUAAAAUAAAAUGAAUUAUAAUAGUUAGUCAUUGGGCGGUAGUAAAAAAUACUUAUUUUAUAUAAAUAUCAAGGGCAAUGAUAUCCUUGCUGCCAACAACGGUAAAAAUUUUCUUUUGAAAAAAAUUGGAAUUGAACCAAAUUAUGAUGUGGUUUUUUAUUUAGUUCAUUGUUUAUAGGUUUAUUUGUUCAAAAAUAUCAAAUUUUAGAUAAAAAAUUAUAAUUUUUAAAUUUAUUAUAAUUAUAAUAAUUUUUUAAAUUAUUUUUUUUCUAAUUUAAAUUAAUUUACAUGAAGUACUAUAUAUUAUUAUUUUUAUCAUAUACAAAAUUUAAUUAAUUUGAAUUAAAUUUUAUUAAAAUUUUAAAUCUUUAAUUACUUAAAAUUUAAAAUGAAUUUCUUAUUUAAAUAAUAAAAAAUUAAAUCUUUCAAUUAGUUAAUUUAAAAAUUUCAUAUAAUUAAAGAUUUAUCAUGAAAACUAAAAUUUGAUUUCAGUUAAUUAAAUUUUUUAUGCGUUAAAAAUAAUGACACAUAAUAUAUUAUAUAAAUUAAUUUAUAUCUAAUUAAAAUUAAUUUAAAAAAUUAUUAUAAUUAUAACAAAUUUAAAAAUUAAAAUUCUUUAUUCAAAAUUAAAUGUUUUAACUAUAAAUAUGAAAAAUUAUAAAAUUAAUAAACUUUUUUAUAAUAAUAAUUUUUUUUACAAUUGAAUCUAGUUAAAUUUGAGCACUAAAUAUUUUAAUUUUAUGAGAUAAAGUUUAUUAAUUUGUGUUUGCUAAAUAUAUUAAUUUUAAUUGAAAGAUUUUUUACACUAUUUAAAUUUAUUAUACUUGAGUUUUAACAUUUAAAAAUCUAUAGCUAUUAAAACAUAUCUCAAUCUCAAAACACAAUAUAUCAAAUAAUAAAUUUCAUUAUAUAUAUAUAAUUGAUGAAUUAAUUAUUAAUUUUAUAUUAAUAUAUAUUUGAUAAAUUAAAUAAGAAUGUCAAAUAUUAAUAUCAAAUGUAUUCUGCACAAUAUUAACGUUAUGGCUUAAAAUAACGCAUGGUAUAACAAUGGAAUUAAAAAAAAACAUUUGAUAUUUAGAAAAAAAAAAAAACAAUGUAAUUAAAAAUUCUUAAUUUUUGUAACCGUUAGAUAAUAGGAUGAUAAUAACGGGAUGAAAGGAAAUUUAUAAAUUAAAAUUUAUCGAACAAAAAAUUUAAAAUUUAAAAGUUAAUUAAAAGAUUUUAAUUUAUUUUAAUUAUAGAUAUUAGAAUUUUAAAAUUACUUUUAACAAAUAAAAUUUAAUUUAUAAUUUCAAAUUUUUAAAUUUAAUAAAAUUCAAGAUAAAAAAUAUAAUUUUUUUAACGCAAUUAAUUCUAACCGAAAUUUAAAUUUAAGAUUCCAUAACUGUAAAAUGGACUUUAAUAUUAUUGAGUUAAAGUCUAUCAAUAUGUUGAAUGUUUUUUUUUUUUCAUAAAAAUAUUGAUAGCUUUUUGGAUGAUUUUAUUUUUCACAAAUAAAAUUAUUUAUUUUAGUUGUAAAUAUAGGUUUAAUGUUUUAAAAAUAUGAUAAUGUUGUUACAAAAUCACAACUUUAAAUUAAAAAUAUCAUUGUUUAUAGAUUUGAUUUAAUUGGUUUUAAAAUUUGGUUUUUUGUUUCAAUAUAUAAAAGUAGAAAAGGGAUGAUAUUCAUACUUAAAUUUAAUAACAUCUGAUUGACUAUUAUUUUGAUCGGUUAACAAAUAAUAUUAAAUUAUUAUUAUUUUGAAAAUUUAAAUUUAAUUAGUUAAAUUGAUUUUAUAUUUAAAUUCAAUUUUUAUUUUACCUAUAAUUUAAAUUAGUUAAAUAAUUUAGGGCUUAUAUAAAUUUAAAAUCGCCCUACUUAUAUAUUUAAGUAAAUUUUAUUAUAAUAUAAUUUUACAAAACUAUCGCUAAACUCUAAAACCUUUGUUUAAAAAAUCAUUAUUUUAUGCUUCUUUAAAAAAUUAUCAAUUUUAAUAAAAUUAACUAAAAAAUAGAUCUUGUAUUUUUUUUAUUCUUCUGGGUUUCUAAAAAUAUAAAGUUGCGUUUUUUAAUAAAAUUAUGAUGUAAAAUUUAAGGUUGUUCUAAAUUUAUGAUAAUAUGCCAUGAAUAUUUUGAUAAUUUUUAAAAUAAAUAGCACGUUUAUAAUGCAUGAGGUUCUCUUGCAAAUCUGAAAUUUUAUAAGACAUUAUUAUCUUAUAAUUGUAAUUAAAUUGUGAAAUAAUUAGAAACUAAAUAUAUCCAUAAGCAUUUUUAUUAUCUAAAUUUGAAUCCAGUUUAAAAUUUUGAUUUAAAUUAUUGCAUAUAUAGUUUGGGUUUUUUAUUUUUAUAAAUAAUACAACUAAAUUAACUAAUCUAAUUGAAAAAUAAACUAAUUGAUAUAUAUUAAUAUUAAAUAAAAAUACAAUCAAGAAUAUCAUAAUUUACUUGAAUUCUUUAUGUUGCCAUGUAUUUUAAUGAACAGCACAGAUAUUAAAAUUUACUUGUAAAAUAAAGUUAAAGAACCCAAGUUUUCAUUUCUUUUCUCUUUUUUGACAAAAAGCUACAAGUUAUGUUUACACUGGAUUAGUCACUUUUAAGUGUAUAUUGUUUCCAUUUCAAAAAAAAAAAAAAAGUGUAUAUUGUUUUGCGGAAGAAUAUGAUUUUUUUUUUCUUUUACUACUUUUACUUAAAUAUGGUUCACAGAGAGAAAAUUUCUUAUAUUUAAUGAAAAAUAGUUCCUUUCAGAUAAAAAAAAAAAAAAAAAUUCAAUAGUUAGUAUUUUUACAUGCACAGCUAAAUUUUGCCCAAAAAAAUACACACACACACAACUAAACUUUACUUGAUAUGUUUUAGGUAUUUUCAUAAUUGUAAUUUAAACCAUUUAAAAUUUUAAUUUUAUCGUAUUAUUAUACAUGCUAUGGUAGAAAAUCAAAUGUAAAAAAAUAUUAGUAGAAUUAGGGACCUCAAAGAAGAAAUAUUAGGACAGACACCCCAUCACCAAGAAUGUAAUACAUGAAAUAAUAACUGAGAAAUCAUCAAAAACAUAUCAACAGAACGGUUCAAAAACAUAUCAACAGAACGGUGUAACAGAAACAAAAACUUUGAAACUAAAUAGAAAGUAUCCCAAACAUCCACCACAAAAGUGGCGUUAAGCACAACAACCACAACAAUAUCGCCACCGCCUAUCUAGCACCCAAUUCUGGGUGCUGCAAAUAGAUGAUGGACAUAAAAAGGUCAAAAUAGUAGUACUAACCAAACAUCUCAAAAAGCUAAGAUAAAUAUAAGAUGUUCUCAACAGAAAUAUUAAGAUUUGUGAGCUGCUAAGCACAAUUCAUUUCCCUCCCUUCUUGGCAGCAGACUUGGUCACUUUAGCUCCACUUGGGUCCUUCUUCUCAACACUCUUGAUCACACCAACAGCAACAGUCUGGCGCAUGUCCCUAACAGCGAAUCUACCCAGUGGAGGGUACCCAGAGAAAGUCUCCACAACCAUUGGCUUGGUCGGAAUCAUCUUCACGAACCCAGCAUCACCAUUUUUCAAAAACUUGGGCUCCUUCUCAAGCUCUUUGCCAGACCUACGAUCAAUCUUGGUCAAGAUUUCAGCAAACUUCACAGCAAUGUGGGAGGUGUGGCAAUCCAGCACUGGGGCAUAACCAUUUCCAAUCUGACCAGGGUGGUUCAUGAUGAUGACCUGCGAUGUAAAGUUGGCAGCCUCCUUGGCAGGAUCAUCCUUAGAGUUUGAUGCAACAAAUCCUCUCUUCAGAUCUUUCACUGCAACGUUCUUCACGUUGAACCCAACAUUGUCACCAGGGAGGGCCUCCUGGAGAGCCUCAUGAUGCAUCUCAACAGACUUAACUUCAGUUGUCAGACCAGUAGGUCCGAAGGUCACAACCAUUCCAGGCUUCAGGACACCAGUUUCCACACGACCCACUGGGACAGUUCCAAUACCACCAAUCUUGUAAACAUCCUGAAGUGGGAGACGGAGAGGCUUGUCUGAGGGCCUCUUGGGCUCCUGGAUCUGGUCCAGAGCUUCAAGAAGAGUUGGGCCCUUGUACCAGUCAAGGUUGGUUGAUCUCUCAAUCAUAUUGUCACCUUCAAACCCAGAGAUGGGAACAAAAGGAAUCUUAUCAGGGUUGUAUCCAACCUUCUUGAGGUAGGAGGAGACUUCCUUGACAAUUUCAUCGUACCUAGCCUUGGAGUACUUGGGGGUGGUGGCAUCCAUCUACACAGAUUUAAAUAACAAAAUAAAUAGAUAAUAUGCAACAGGAAAUAUUCAUGAUCUCAAAGCACCAUACAUGCAUAACUUUACAAGACUAGUAUGUCUAUUUUCCAAACAAUAAGAAACACAAUUCACUGCUAACACACAUCAGCCCCAAACCAUUAUAACAUCUAUCCUGGACAGACAACACAAGUAUUAUCACUUCCAAUCACCCAACCUAUUCCUCCACUUUACUACCACCUACUAAACACCCUCACAGUAUAGCAUUUUCAAUACAAUGUUAAGAUCUUUCAUUUUUACCAAAUUAUGAAAAAAAAAAGGAUAAAAAUAAGCAACGUUGUAAAGGCACAUCCAAAAGCAACAAGUUAUUAGUUUGUUACCUUGUUGCAGCAG
rnacentral:lncRNA from 1 species